rnacentral:rRNA from 1 species
AUUGAACGCUGGCGGCAGGCUUAACACAUGCAAGUCGAACGAGCGGCGGACGGGUGAGUAAUGUAUGGGGACUGCCCGAUAGAGGGGGAUAACUACUGGAAACGGUGGCUAAUACCGCAUACUAUCGGAUAACCCAUAUGGGAUUAGCUAGUAGGUGGGGUAAAGGCUAACCUAGGAGAGGAUCUCUAGCUGGUCUGAGAGGAUGAUCAGCCACACGGGGAAUGAGACACGGCCCAGACUCCUACGGAGACAGCAGUGGGGAAGAUUGCACAAUGGGCGCAAGCCUGAUGCAGCCAGGCCGCGUGUAUGAAGAAGGCCUUAGGGUUGUAAAGUACUUUCAGCGGGGAGGCGUUACCCGCAGAAGAAGCACCGGCUAACUCCGUGCCAGCAGCCGCGGUAAUAC